AAGCACUUUUAUCAGGAGCGAAAUACUACCGGCUAAUAACCGGUGGGGCUGACGGUACCUGAGGAAUAAGCACCGGCUAACUUCGUCCCAGCAGCCGCGGUAAUACGAAGGGUGCAAGCGUUAAUCGGAAUUACUGGGCGUAAAGGGUGCGUAGGCGGUUUGUUAAGUCUGUCGUGAAAUCCCCGGGCUCAACCUGGGAAUGGCGAUGGAUACUGGCAAGCUAGAGUGUGUCAGAGGAUGGUGGAAUUUCCGGUGUAGCGGUGAAAUGCGUAGAGAUCGGAAGGAACAUCAGUGGCGAAGGCGGCCAUCUGGGACAACACUGACGCUGAAGCACGAAAGCGUGGGGAGCAAACAGGAUUAGAUACCCUGGUAGUCCACGCCCUAAACGAUGCGAACUGGAUGUUGGUCUCAACUCGGAGAUCAGUGUCGAAGCUAACGCGUUAAGUUCGCCGCCUGGGGAGUACGGUCGCAAGACUGAAACUCAAAGGAAUUGACGGGGGCCCGCACAAGCGGUGGAGUAUGUGGUUUAAUUCGAUGCAACGCGAAGAACCUUACCUGGCCUUGACAUGUCUGGAAUCCUGCAGAGAUGCGGGAGUGCCUUCGGGAAUCAGAACACAGGUGCUGCAUGGCUGUCGUCAGCUCGUGUCGUGAGAUGUUGGGUUAAGUCCCGCAACGAGCGCAACCCUUGUCCUUAGUUGCCAGCGAGUAAUGUCGGGAACUCUAAGGAGACUGCCGGUGACAAACCGGAGGAAGGUGGGGAUGACGUCAAGUCCUCAUGGCCCUUACGGCCAGGGCUACACACGUACUACAAUGGUCGGUACAGAGGGUUGCAAUACCGCGAGGUGGAGCCAAUCCCAGAAAGCCGAUCCCAGUCCGGAUCGAAGUCUGCAACUCGACUUCGUGAAGUCGGAAUCGCUAGUAAUCGCGGAUCAGCUAUGCCGCGGUGAAUACGUUCCCGGGCCUUGUACACACCGCCCGUCAC
rnacentral:rRNA from 1 species